rnacentral:rRNA from 1 species
AGUGAACGCUGGCGGUAGGCCUAACACAUGCAAGCCGAACGGCAGCACAGUAAGAGCUUGCUCUUACGGGUGGCGAGUGGCGGACGGGUGAGGAAUACAUCGGAAUCUACUUUUUCGUGGGGGAUAACGUAGGGAAACUUACGCUAAUACCGCAUACGACCUACGGGUGAAAGCAGGGGAUCUUCGGACCUUGCGCGAAUGAAUGCGCCGAUGUCGGAGUAGCUAGUUGGCGGGGUAAAGGCCCAUCAAGGCGACGAUCCGUAGCUGGUCUGAGAGGAUGAUCAGCCACACUGGAACUGAGACACGGUCCAGACUCCUACGGGAGGCAGCAGUGUGGAAUAUUGGACAAUGGGCGCAAGCCUUAUCCAACCAUACCGCGUGUGUGAAGAAGGCCUUCGGGGUGUAAAGCCCUUUUGUUGGGAAAGAACAGCAUCAGGUUAAUACCCCGCUGUUCUGACGGUACCCAAAGAAUAAGCACCGGCUAACUUCGUG